CACGUAGUUAGCCGGGGCUUCUUGGUCGGGUACCGUCCGCGGCUCUCGCGAGCCGUGUUUCUUCCCCGCUGACAGAGCUUUACGCGCCGAAACGCUUCUUCACUCACGCGGCGUCGCUGCAUCAGGGUUUCCCCCAUUGUGCAAUAUUCCCCACUGCUGCCUCCCGUAGGAGUUUGGGCCGUGUCUCAGUCCCAAUGUGGCCGUCCGCCCUCUCAGGCCGGCUACUGAUCGUCGCCUUGGUGGGCCGUUACCCCGCCAACCAGCUAAUCAGACGCGGGUCCAUCCCGUACCACCGGAGUUUUCAAGAAAGGAACAUGCGUCCCCUUCUGUUAUGCGGUAUUAGCACCUGUUUCCAGGUGUUAUCCCCCGGUACGGGGCAGGUUCCCCACGCGUUACUCACCCGUCCGCCACUAAGGCCCGCGCCUUCCGGGUCUGGUAAACCAUCCCCUUCCGCCGCUGGCCCCCGUUCGACUUGCAUGUGUUAGGCACGCCGCCAGCGUUCAUCCUGAGCCAGGAUCAAACUCU
rnacentral:rRNA from 1 species